rnacentral:rRNA from 1 species
GAUCCUGGCUCAGAAUCAACGCUGGCGGCGCGCUUAACACAUGCAAGUCGAGCGAGAAAGUGGGGCAACUCAUGAGUACAGCGGCGAACGGGUGAGUAACACGUGGGUAAUCCACCUUGGAGUGGGGGAUAACCCUGGGAAACCGGGGCUAAUACCGCAUAAACCUGGAAAGGGAAAGCCGAAAGGCGCUCGAAGAGGAGCCCGCGGCCGAUUAGCUAGUUGGUGGGGUAAAGGCUCACCAAGGCGGUGAUCGGUAGCCGGCCUGAGAGGGCACACGGCCACACUGGCACUGAAACACGGGCCAGACUCCUACGGGAGGCAGCAGUGGGGAAUCCUGCACAAUGGAGGCAACUCUGAUGCAGCGACGCCGCGUGAGCGAUGAAGCCCUUCGGGGUGUAAAGCUCUUUCGGCAGGGACGAUAAUGACGGUACCUGCAGAAGAAGCUGCGGCUAACUACGUGCCAGCAGCCGCGGUAAUACGUAGGCAGCGAGCGUUGUUCGGAAUUACUGGGCGUAAAGAGUGUGUAGGCGGUGGUCUAAGUUCGGUGUGAAAUCUCCUGGCUUAACUGGGAGGGUGCGCCGGAAACUGGAUUGCUUGAGCGUGGGAGAGGAAAGCGGAAUUCCUGGUGUAGCGGUGAAAUGCGUAGAUAUCAGGAGGAACACCGGUGGUGUAGACGGCUUUCUGGACCAU